UUUUUUUUUUAAAUAUAUUUUUUUAAGUUUUUUUUUAAAUGUUAAUGCCUAUGGUAUCUGAUGCCUUAACUUAAUUAAUGUUUUAGGCAUCUCGUUUUACGGGCAAAUAGAGAUGAAAACGGUUUUGCGACACAGUUUGCUGGGUGGGUGCUCAAAAUGAAGCUGCAAAGUAGUUUGCCUUGCGUGGACACCGCUCCAUCAACCAAGUCAUCGCGUGGUUGGAAGGACAAGACGUGAAUAAGGAACAGUUGAACAUCAUCAUAAGUGGACUCAUGAGAGCUGAAUAAGGAAUAGUCAAAUAUCAUCAAAACUCGACUCAUCAUACUAUGAUUUUGUCAUUAUCAUAAUUGUAUUGUUUAUUAAAUAAUACAAUUUUUGUUAUUUUUGUAAUUAUAUUGUUUAUCGUUAAAGCAUAUUAGCACAUUUUUCAAGCUCGAUCAUGGUAAGUGAAUUCUGAGAGACGCAUUGUCUCUUUUAAUCAAUUAUACAUUUUUCUUUUAAAAAAUAUGAUUUGGGUGAAUCACUCUUUCUAAUAAGAGCAAGAGGGGAGUUGGAGGCAUGACAAAAUCUUUGGCUAAAGUUACCCCUCAGAAAGAGGAAGAAGUGAUCUCACCCUUAAAAAUUUGAGAUUGUUACAAUUAGGAGACUUAUAAUAUCUGUAUAUAAUUUUUUACAUAAAACAAGCAUCUCAGAAAGAGGAUGAAGUGAUCUCACCCUUAAAAAUUUGAGAUUGUUACAAUUAGGAGACUCAUUAUAUCUGUAUAUAAUUUUUUACAUAAAACAAGCAUAGAAACUUAGAGAGUGUUUUUGUUAUAAACGCAGAGAUAAUUUAUUUUUUUCAUGAAAAACUAACAGAAUAUUCUAACUGAGUUAAUAUUUUUGAUUCAAAGGGUUAUAAAAUAAGAUUCAGAUGCUAAAGUUGUUAAAUCUACUAAAAUACAAGAACUUAAAAAAGUAAUUUACUUAAAAAUUUAUUUCUU
rnacentral:lncRNA from 1 species